GACGAACGCUGGCGGCGUGCUUAACACAUGCAGGUCGUACGGUAAGGCCCUUUCGGGGGUACACGAGUGGCGAACGGGUGAGUAACACGUGAGUAACCUGCCCACAACUUUGGGAUAACGCUAGGAAACUGGUGCUAAUACUGGAUAUGUGCUCCUGCUGCAUGGUGGGGGUUGGAAAGCUCCGGCGGUUGUGGAUGGACUCGCGGCCUAUCAGCUUGUUGGUGGGGUAGUGGCCUACCAAGGCGGCGACGGGUAGCCGGCCUGAGAGGGUGACCGGCCACAUAGGGUCUGAGAUACGGCCCAGGUGCCUACGGGAGGCAGCAGUGGGGAAUAUUGCACAAUGGGCGCCGGCCGGAUGCAGAAGCGCCGCGUGCGGGAUGACGGCCUUCGGGUUGAAAACCGCUUUCAGCAGGGACGAAGCUUUUUGUGACGGUACCUGCAGAAGAAGCACCGGCUAACUACGUG
rnacentral:rRNA from 1 species